rnacentral:lncRNA from 1 species
CCAAAUUUGAUAUUUCAGACUUCUUCAAAAUUAAACAUUUCUGCUUUUCUAGGAACCUUACAAGGAAAAUAACUGUCAAGCUAUCAACUGACUGAAAAUUCUUGUAGAACAUGUAUCUGAAAACCCACCUGUGUCCAGACUGUAUGAAUAACUCUCAAAACAGUUCUACACUAUACAAUUACUUAAAACUCAAAGAGAACUAUGACUUCCUUUGACAAAUUGCCCUCUAC